rnacentral:rRNA from 1 species
AGGACGAACGCUGGCGGCGUGCUUAACACAUGCAAGUCGAACGGGGUCCAACCAGUCGCAAGACUGGGGAAGACUUAGUGGCGAACGGGUGAGUAACACGUGAGCAACCUGCCCCGAAGACCGGGAUAACAGCGGGAAACCGCUGCUAAUACCGGAUGCCCCCACCGGGCCGCAUGACCUGGUGAGGAAAUGGAUUCCGCUUCGGGAGGGACUCGCGGCCUAUCAGCUUGUUGGUGGGGUAAUGGCCUACCAAGGCGUCGACGGGUAGCUGGUCUGAGAGGACGAUCAGCCACACUGGGACUGAGACACGGCCCAGACUCCUACGGGAGGCAGCAGUGGGGAAUCUUGCGCAAUGGGCGAAAGCCUGACGCAGCAACGCCGCGUGAGGGACGAAGGCCUUCGGGUUGUAAACCGUCUUUCAGCAGGGACGAUUGUGACGGUACCUGCAGAAGAAGCCCGGCCAACUACGUGCCAGCAGCCGC